CCUACGGGUGGCAGCAGUGGGGAAUAUUGGACAAUGGGCGAAAGCCUGAUCCAGCCAUGCCGCGUGUGUGAAGAAGGCCUUCGGGUUGUAAAGCACUUUCAGUGGGGAAGAAAGCCUUGGGGCUAAUACCCUCGAGGAAGGACAUCACCCACAGAAGAAGCACCGGCUAACUCCGUGCCAGCAGCCGCGGUAAUACGGAGGGUGCGAGCGUUAAUCGGAAUUACUGGGCGUAAAGCGCGCGUAGGCGGUCUGAUAAGCCGGUUGUGAAAGCCCCGGGCUCAACCUGGGAACGGCAUCCGGAACUGGCAGGCUAGAGUGAAGGAGAGGAAGGUAGAAUUCCCGGUGUAGCGGUGAAAUGCGUAGAGAUCGGGAGGAAUACCAGUGGCGAAGGCGGCCUUCUGGACUGACACUGACGCUGAGGUGCGAAAGCGUGGGUAGCAAACAGGAUUAGAUACCCGAGUAGUC
rnacentral:rRNA from 1 species